GACAGAGGGUGCAAACGUUGUUCGGAAUUACUGGGCGUAAAGCGUGUGUAGGCGGCCUUAUAAGUCGGAUGUGAAAGCCCCCGGGCUCAACCCGGGAAGUGCACUCGAUACUGUGAGGCUCGAGUAUCGGAGAGGUUGGUGGAAUUCUCGGUGUAGAGGUGAAAUUCGUAGAUAUCGAGAGGAACACCGGUGGCGAAAGCGGCCAACUGGACGAAUACUGACGCUGAGACACGAAAGCGUGGGGAGCAAACAGG
rnacentral:rRNA from 1 species